UACGUAGGCAGCAAGCGUUGUUCGGAAUUACUGGGCGUAAAGAGUGUGUAGGCGGUGUUCUAAGUUUGUCGUGAAAUCUCCCGGCUUAACUGGGAGGGUGCGGCGAAAACUGGAAUGCUAGAGGAUGGGAGAGGUAAGCGGAAUUCCAGGUGUAGCGGUGAAAUGCGUAGAGAUGUGGAGGAACACCAGUGGCGAAGGCGGCUUUUUGGUCUGUAACUGACGCGAGGCGCGAAA
rnacentral:rRNA from 1 species